UAGGGAAUCUUCCGCAAUGGGCGAAAGCCUGACGGAGCAACGCCGCGUGAGUGAUGAAGGUCUUCGGAUCGUAAAACUCUGUUAUUAGGGAAGAACAAAUGUGUAAGUAACUAUGCACGUCUUGACGGUACCUAAUCAGAAAGCCACGGCUAACUACGUGCCAGCAGCCGCGGUAAUACGUAGGUGGCAAGCGUUAUCCGGAAUUAUUGGGCGUAAAGCGCGCGUAGGCGGUUUUUUAAGUCUGAUGUGAAAGCCCACGGCUCAACCGUGGAGGGUCAUUGGAAACUGGAAAACUUGAGUGCAGAAGAGGAAAGUGGAAUUCCAUGUGUAGCGGUGAAAUGCGCAGAGAUAUGGAGGAACACCAGUGGCGAAGGCCACUUUCUGGUCUGUAACUGACGCUGAUGUGCGAAAGCGUGGGGAUCAAACAGG
rnacentral:rRNA from 1 species